AUUGAACGCUGGCGGCAGGCCUAACACAUGCAAGUCGAGCGGAUGAAGGGAGCUUGCUCCUGGAUUCAGCGGCGGACGGGUGAGUAAUGCCUAGGAAUCUGCCUGGUAGUGGGGGAUAACGUCCGGAAACGGGCGCUAAUACCGCAUACGUCCUGAGGGAGAAAGUGGGGGAUCUUCGGACCUCACGCUAUCAGAUGAGCCUAGGUCAGAUUAGCUAGUUGGUGGGGUAAAGGCCUACCAAGGCGACGAUCCGUAACUGGUCUGAGAGGAUGAUCAGUCACACUGGAACUGAGACACGGUCCAGACUCCUACGGGGGGCAGCAGUGGGGAAUAUUGGACAAUGGGCGAAAGCCUGAUCCAGCCAUGCCGCGUGUGUGAAGAAGGUCUUCGGAUUGUAAAGCACUUUAAGUUGGGAGGAAGGGCAGUAAGUUAAUACCUUGCUGUUUUGACGUUACCAACAGAAUAAGCACCGGCUAACUUCGUG
rnacentral:rRNA from 1 species